GAGGGAUUUAGUGUAGGUCAGCAGAACUUCAAAAGAAAGGAGAGUUUUAGGUAUAAUUUCUUCAAAACUCCUUCUCCCUGUUUUGAGCACUUUCUCUGCUGAAACAGAAAGUAUUCUCCUUCUGCAUUUGAAUCACUCCCAUGAUUAACGAAUCACUCCAGCGGAGUCAAAUGUCCUCAGUUCAAUUACCUUUCUCAAGGACACACAGGUCAAUUGCUUCUCCUUCUCCAUAAAUAGUAAAGUCAAACGAGACUAUUUCUUGGAAUUUAACUCGAAAUAUCUUCAGCAAGAUUAAGAGUUUCACAUAGGGCCUAUGACUAAUGACAACAAUCCAUUCUGAGCUCAUUACACAAACCCGUAUACAGAACAUUUAUCCUUUCUGAAAAGAACAAUGAAGUGCUUCAGGAGAGGGGUCCCUCAGGAGCUGUGCAUAAACACCUGGAGAUUUACAGUGAAGUCAAAGAAGAAAUGGAAAAGGCCUUUGCCCUUUCUCUGCAUUUGUUGAUGGUUUCUCAUAAUAUAAAAUACUCCUUUAGCAAAGGCUAGUUCCAAGUCCUGGUCUCCAGAAACAGUGUGAUUGAUUGAUUUGGAUUGUUAUAGAAAACAAUGGUACAGGGAGAGCUGGAAUGCUUCCUUUGUUUUCUAAUGGAUUUCUCAUCCAGAUUCAUGGCAAGCCCUGAACUGAAGACAUGAUGUGCAGCAUGCUCAACUGUAAUUGCUUGGAGAGUGGCAGGAGCGCGCAGGCCUCUCGGGAGCUCCCCAGGGUGGAGCCUGCGCUGGAGGCGGGACUGGAUCCCGGCAGCCUGGAGUCCCCAGGGCGCGGCUCGCCGUUGGUUCUGUCCAUGCAAAGCCUCGCGGGCCAGAGGACACGGAAAGCGUGGCCUGGGCGGGGCCGCCUGCCCGACUCCUCAGGCAUGGAAUGGGAGGACAGGGGCAACAGAGGAGGGUGGCGGCAAGUCCUGACUUCACAGGUGUGAGUGCUCCGAGCCCUCUGUGGUUGGGGUGGGGUAAGGAAUACAAAAGCGGUGGAGGUCCUUAGUGACAUUUCCCGAAGAAGGCAGAAAUCUGUGUGGACCAGGAGAGGCGUUUUGUGUCCUUUUUUUCUUUAUAGAUGCCUCACGUGCACUAGAGCUACGGCUGCCUCCCUGGGAAUAUUCCUCUGCAGGCCUGUCCCUCACACACCAGGCCACUUCUAACAGAUGGGCCACUCCUCAACACGUGGCACCUGGGGCUGGCGUCAGUCCCAAGACGGAGGCCAAAGCUUAAACUCCCAGCAUCAGGCACGGGGCGUGUCACCCGGAUGCUAGGGACCAGCUCUCACUCCUCAGGGGUGCAAACAUAAAGUGCUGCAUUCUUGCAUAUGGACUAGUCACUGCAGCAUCACCGUGUUAGUCUAAGGCAUUAGGAGCUCCUCCUUGGCGCGGGUGUUUUGUAGCAGAGGCUGCCAGCUGGCGGGUCACCCAGAGCGGGUCGGGUCCCCAGCGACCCCACAGCCCCCGCCUUGGAACCCCCAGGCUGCCUGGGUCCUCAGGAAAGUCGCAAGGACUCCACUCAGGAACCCUGUGUGUGGUAGGCGCAGACCAGAGCAGAAACGCAGAGGGAUUUAGAAGACGCUCAGAAGAACGCAUGCAAAUGAAGUGCAUUUACCUUGCUUGGUUGUUUGGGUCUAUAUCCUAAUUCCAAUUCUUCUGAGUGAUUUGCAGGAGACUGCCCUGCGAACCUAAGCAGAAUUCCGAGAAAACCCCAUCCAGGGGUCUCUGUUCCUCACUCAGUAUCAUCUUGACUAGUGUUCUUCUCUUCAGAGAUUUACAUUAAAACGGACUCUGAUAAAGAACAGCAGCUCUGUGACAAAAUUCCACAGUGCGUGGCGGUGGCACUCCCAGGUCUGGACUUUGUGUCCUCCCGGUGAGGACCGAGUUCCUGGUCCUGUGCUGGGCCGACUGUGGGCCUUGACAAAGACACCGCCUCCACUUCCACCCAGUGGAACAUCUGUACCGUCCUGUGAAGAUUGCCAGCCUCUCUGUGAUAACAAACAAGGAAACCCUGAGGCUUAAUACAAAAUUAUACUAAUAACAGUAUGCCUCACUCAUGAGAGUCCUCUCCAGCAAGGACUCAGGGAUCCGCCUGUUUCCAACUUCCGGCUCCAGCAUCUCAACGCCAGGCUUCCACCAUUAUCAGGGGGCAAAUGACUGCAUCUAACCAACACUCAAGAGGAAGAUAAUCAAACUCCACCUUUUGAAUGGAAAAGUAUCAGUCAAUUUGUGGACAUUUAUUUAAAGCACCAAAGAACUCCCCAAUAGAGGACAUCACAAAGUUCAACCCGAUCUUUGUAUUCUGCUUAAAGUUUAGGAACUUGGGGUGAUAUGAAGGCAACUCCAUCAAGCCCAAUAUGGCUACUUUUAGUCCAGAAAACUAGAUAACAAAAAGGUACGUUUUCUGAAAUCUCUUACCUUACCCCCAACACACAAUAAACAAUAUAGGGGAAACAGGAAAUUUCCCUGGGAAAACUCUUUGAGGGCCACCUACCCAUUGGGCAAAAGAUGAUGGUUCACUAUACAAUGUUUCUCCCUUUCUGAAUAUCAUCCUUAUCUUUUAUUCUCUGUAGCAAAAUCUUGUCCACUUUUGGGUGGUCGUUUUUUUACUAUCCUCCUUGUCCAUAUCUGAAAAAAGCAUAAAGGCAUAUACCGUCUUUGAGGGCUUCAAAACUUUCACAAAUCACUUUCUGAUAAUAAAUUAUAGACCAAAGGGUUAUUCCUAGGCUCAGCAAGUCUAGGAUUUUUUUAUAUAAGGCUCACGAUUUCUUUCUUCCGACAUUCAACUUGCAAAAAAAAAAAAAAGAAAAGAAAAGAAAAGAAAACACCCAGUGGGCUUUUUUAUGUCUUUGCCUGUGGUCGAUCCAUAACCUUAGUUUCUGUCAACUUCUAAUUCUCAAAGAUGUUUUUUGUUAUUUUCUCUUACGUAUACUCCUUACACACAGCUGUUUCUUCUAAGUUAAUGGGCAAUCUUGGGGUUUGCAUAACCAGGAAUAAUAAGUAGAAAGCAAUGCCCAAAUCUGCAGUUACAGUCAUUACAGGACACAUACCCUCAGUCUCAUGUUUAACCUAAAUCACUUGAGCCUGUGUUUCAGAGGCUUUUUCAGAAAUAUCUCUUUAUUUAGAGAACUAUAGUUAUUGGUCUUUCUCAUAUUUGAAAAAGUUAAAUUGUUACACUUUUUCUAGAAUCUUUUAUUAUUUCUGCUUGCAUAUUGACCGUUAUUUGCAGAGCUCACAUUUGUGUGUGUGUGUUGUACCUUGCAAAAAGCAGCCAAAACCAACUAUAUUAUACAGUAUUAUACUAUUGUUGGGAUAAUUUCUUUGUCCUUUCCCACAAAGAAGCCAGAUUAACAUAUACAUAAUUCAUGUCCCAAGACAUGCAAGUGAGAGUUUUACCUUUUUAAAACAUUUUAGGUGUCAAAGUUUGUACAUUUGGGAUUGUGUUUAUCAUAUAGCCUAGCCUAGCCUAGAUUAAUGCAGCACUAGUACCAGGUGUCCUGUGCUGCUUUUUAAAAUCCUAACACAUGCAUCCAAAGAAGAUCUAUAAACAGCCAACAAGCACACGGAAGGAUUCUCAACGUUACUAGUCAUGAUGGAAAUGCAAAUCAAAACCACACAGAGACAUCACUUCACACCUACUAGAAUGGCUAUAUUUUUUAAAAAUGGAAUAUUACCUGUGGGUGAGUAUGUGAAGAAAUUGGAACCUUCAUGCUUCAUACUUACUAGUGAAAUUGUAAAAUGUUUCAGCUGCUAUGGCAGACAUCUGGCAGAUUCAGGUAAGGAAUUAGAACUGGAACACUAGGGAUCAGAGGCUCCCAGAGUGGAAUGAUCAAUGGUGGCCGUGGCUAGGACUGUUGUGGCAAUUAUAGGAAUGGCUGAUUCUCUGAAUGCCAUAUGGAGGAGGAGGGACCAGUUACUGGAAAUGGGAAGGGAAGGGAGAAUCUAUCCAGAAACAUUGUUUCCGGAACAUGGUGCUUACAAAUUUUUAAUGGUGUAAUUUCUAAAGAUAUGUGGUAUUAGGGAAAAAAAAGAAAAA
rnacentral:lncRNA from 10 species